AUAUCAAUAAGCGGAGGAAAAGAAACCAACAGGGAUUGCCCUAGUAACGGCGAGUGAAGCGGCAACAGCUCAAAUUUGAAAUCUGGCUCUUUUAGGGUCCGAGUUGUAAUUUGCAGAGAGCGCUUUGGCGUUGGCAGCGGUCCAAGUUCCUUGGAACAGGACGUCACAGAGGGUGAGAAUCCCGUACGUGGUCGCUAACCUUCGCCGUGUAAAGCCUCUUCGACGAGUCGAGUUGUUUGGGAAUGCAGCUCUAAAUGGGAGGUAAAUUUCUUCUAAAGCUAAAUACUGGCCAGAGACCGAUAGCGCACAAGUAGAGUGAUCGAAAGAUGAAAAGCACUUUGGAAAGAGAGUCAAAUAGCACGUGAAAUUGUUGAAAGGGAAGCGCUUGCAGCCAGACUUGCCUGUAGUUGCUCAUCCGGGCUUUUGCCCGGUGCACUCUUCUAUAGGCAGGCCAGCAUCAGUUUGGGCGGUCGGAUAAAGAACUCUAUCACGUACAUGCCUUCGGGCAGACCUUAUAGGGGAGUUGUAACACGACCAGCCUGGACUGAGGUCCGCGCAUCUGCUAGGAUGCUGGCGUAAUGGCUGUAAGCGGCCCGUCUUGAAACACGGACCAAGGAGUCUAACAUCUAUGCGAGUGUUUGGGUGUCAAGCCCGAGCGCGCAAUGAAAGUGAACGGAGGUGGGAACCCUUUAGGGUGCACCAUCGACCGAUCCUGAUGUCUUCGGAUGGAUUUGAGUAAGAGCAUGGCUGUUGGGACCCGAAAGAUGGUGAACUAUGCUUGAAUAGGGUGAAGCCAGAGGAAACUCUGGUGGAGGCUCGCAGCGGUUCUGACGUGCAAAUCGAUCGUCAAAUUUGGGCAUAGGGGGCGAAAGACUAAUCGAACUAUCUAGUAGCUGGUUCCUGCCGAGC
rnacentral:rRNA from 1 species